rnacentral:ncRNA from 1 species
GUUUAAGCGAUGAAGAAGAGUAAGUACGCGUUGUGUAAUGCUUUAGAGAGCUGAUGGUUGGUGGAAAUCAGUGCAGGAGCAAGGCGGAAUGGGCUUCGGAGCUUCUUGGCUGAAAGAGAGAGUAGGCGAAGCGGGUGCCUUGCCGUUAAAAAAGGCAGCGUAUUGAAGCAGUAGACUUCUGUGCGUCUUGAGAAGCGCUUUUUUGUGGAGCGAAUGAAGGUGGCACCGCGGGGUUAUCCGUCCUUUUU